UACGAAGGGGGGCUAGCGUUGCUCGGAAUCACUGGGCGUAAAGCGCACGUAGGCGGCUUUCUAAGUCAGGGGUGAAAUCCCUGGAGCUCAACUCCAGAACUGCCUUUGAUACUGGGAGCUCGAGUCCGGGAGAGGUGAGUGGAACUGCGAGUGUAGAGGUGAAAUUCGUAGAUAUUCGCAAGAACACCCAGUGGCGAAGGGCGGCUCA
rnacentral:rRNA from 1 species